UACGUAGGGUCCGAGCGUUGUCCGGAUUUAUUGGGCGUAAAGAGCUCGUAGGCGGUUCCGUAAGUCAGAUGUGAAAACUCAGGGCUCAACCCGGAGACGCCAUCUGAUACUGCGGUGACUGGAGUCUGGUAGGGGAACACGGAAUUCCUGGUGUAGCGGUGAAAUGCGCAGAUAUCAGGAGGAACACCGAUGGCGAAGGCAGUGUUCUGGGCCAGUACUGACGCUGAGGAGCGAAAGCAUGGGGAGCGAACAGG
rnacentral:rRNA from 1 species